CCCAAGGGUUGGGCUGUUCGCCCAUUAAAGCGGUACGCGAGCUGGGUUCAGAACGUCGUGAGACAGUUCGGUCCCUAUCCGUCGUGGGCGUAGGAAAUUUGAGAGGAGCUGUCCUUAGUACGAGAGGACCGGGAUGGACAUACCUCUGGUGUACCAGUUGUCGUGCCAACGGCAUAGCUGGGUAGCUAUGUGUGGACGGGAUAAGUGCUGAAAGCAUCUAAGCAUGAAGCCCCCCUCAAGAUGAGAUUUCCCAACUUCGGUUAUAAGAUCCCUCAAAGAUGAUGAGAUUAAUAGGUUCGAGGUGGAAGCAUGGUGACAUGUGGAGCUGACGAAUACUAAUCGAUCGAAGACUUAAUCAAAA
rnacentral:rRNA from 2 species